rnacentral:sRNA from 1 species
AUGGGAUAGAAUCAAUGUCCUGAUGAACAACAUUUAACAAUUUUGUGCCAAAGAAGAGUUGCAAACUGUGAAGUAACUUCUAUGAAGAGAUGAAGUAAAG